rnacentral:tRNA from 1 species
UGACGUAAUGGACGGUGCGCACGCCGCGCUGUUUCAACCAGCGCUCGAUGCCCAGGUUGAAGUCGGGGGCGUCGA